ACGUUAAUUAAAAAAAAAAACCUAAUUAUGUUUCAUACAAAUGUAGUUCCGGCAACAUUCAUCUUCCCCCAAAAUGUAUUCACUGAUGCCACAUCCCCCCCUUCUUCCAGAUAUCACAAACCCAUCUGAGAGUGACUUUGAGGGAUAAUCGGCGUGGUCACGAUGGCAAGAGAGACCCUGAAUGAAGAUCACGUGCUGAUAAUCCAUAAUGCAGUCGAUCUACCAAGGAUCCUCAUCGAGGACGGCGAGCAGCAGGGUGAGUUGAAACGUGGACACAAACAGCUCGAUUGUUCUCUUGUAGGAUAACUCGCGAAGUGGCGUGCACCCAAGCAAGAAGAGUGGGCAGUUUAAAGCAGCACAAAUGGAACGCACAAUAUGAGCUUUGCCGAUUGAAUGCGUAGAAGAGGAUCAGCUGAGCAGUCAGCUGAUGUGGGCUGGCAUAGAGAUCUCUUCUGUCAGCUGAUGUGCUGCACAGUACCAGCAACCUACUACCUGUACAGGGAAUAAUUGGAUUCUGGAUUUCUAUUAAGUUUUGUUUUAUGGAGCUUAAACCCUCACAUUUCACAAACAUUCUACUGCUUUUGCUAGCGUCAUCAGUUUGUCGAUGUACAGUGUAAUUAGAGUUAUUUCGUCAUAAAGAUAGUCAUUACGUUUCAGUGUUCGCUGGCUUCCUUAACCUGCCUCAUUCACUUCCACUUCCAGCUAUCGUCAAUAAAAG
rnacentral:lncRNA from 1 species